rnacentral:rRNA from 1 species
GUGCCAGCAGCCGCGGUAAUACGGGGGGUGCAAGCGUUGUUCGGAAUUAUUGGGCGUAAAGAGCGUGUAGGCGGCCGAGCAAGUCAGAUGUGAAAUCCCCGGGCUUAACCCGGGAAGUGCAUUUGAAACUGCUAGGCCUGAGUAGGGGAGAGGAAAGUGGAAUUCCUGGUGUAGAGGUGAAAUUCGUAGAUAUCAGGAGGAACACCGGUGGCGAAGGCGACUUUCUGGCCCUAUACUGACGCUGAGACGCGAGAGCGUGGGUAGCAAACAGGAUUAGAUACCCUGGUAGUCCACGCCGUAAACGAUGUUCACUAGGUGUUGGGGGUAUUGACCCUCUCAGUGCCGCAGCUAACGCAUUAAGUGAACCGCCUGGGGAGUACGGUCGCAAGAUUAAAACUUAAAGAAAUUGGCGG